CGACCUACGGGACGCAGCAGUGGGGAAUCUUCCGCAAUGGGCGCAAGCCUGACGGAGCAAUGCCGCGUGAACGAAGAAGGUCUUCGGAUUGUAAAGCUCUGUCCUUAUCGAAGAGAGGGUAUAGAGUGAAAAAUGAUAUACUAGGACGGCAGAUGAGGAGGAAGCCCCGGCUAACUACGUGCCAGCAGCCGCGGUAAUACGUAGGGGGCGAGCGUUGUCCGGAAUCACUGGGCGUAAAGGGCGCGUAGGCGGUAAUAUAAGUCAGACUUGAAAGGUGGGGGCUCAACCCCUAGAGUGCAACUGGU
rnacentral:rRNA from 1 species